UCACGUAGCGUCCUGAGAAGCUGUGUUUCCAGUGCUGUAAAGGAUCACAGCGUUGUCGUUCCGGAGUUGCUUGACUCUGCUGUGUAUAUCCUGGAGUCAAGGAGAAACUCACCUUGUGGAGGAGCCUAAUCACAGUAGCAAGCAAGCUGGAUCCAGCUGCAAACUGAGAACAGGAGGAUUCACCAAUCAAACCU